rnacentral:rRNA from 1 species
CCUACGGGUGGCUGCAGUGGGGAAUAUUGGACAAUGGGCGAAAGCCUGAUCCAGCCAUGCCGCGUGUGUGAAGAAGGCCUUCGGGUUGUAAAGCACUUUCAGUGGGGAAGAAAGCCUUGGGGCUAAUACCCUCGAGGAAGGACAUCACCCACAGAAGAAGCACCGGCUAACUCCGUGCCAGCAGCCGCGGUAAUACGGAGGGUGCGAGCGUUAAUCGGAAUUACUGGGCGUAAAGCGCGCGUAGGCGGUCUGAUAAGCCGGUUGUGAAAGCCCCGGGCUCAACCUGGGAACGGCAUCCGGAACUGUCAGGCUAGAGUGCAGGAGAGGAAGGUAGAAUUCCCGGUGUAGCGGUGAAAUGCGUAGAGAUCGGGAGGAAUACCAGUGGCGAAGGCGGCCUUCUGGUCUGACACUGACGCUGAGGUGCGAAAGCGUGGGUAGCAAACAGGAUUAGAUACCCUUGUAGUC